rnacentral:rRNA from 1 species
ACCCCCCUACGGGACGCAGCAGUGGGGAAUAUUGCACAAUGGGGGAAACCCUGAUGCAGCGACGCCGCGUGAGCGAAGAAGUAUUUCGGUAUGUAAAUCUCUAUCAGCAGGGAAGAAAAAAAUGACGGUACCUGAGUAAGAAGCACCGGCUAAAUACGUGCCAGCAGCCGCGGUAAUACGUAUGGUGCAAGCGUUAUCCGGAUUUACUGGGUGUAAAGGGAGCGUAGGCGGCGCGUUAAGUCUGAUGUGAAAACCCGAGGCUCAACUACGGGAGUUCAUUGGAAACUGGCGGGCUGGAGUGCCGG